rnacentral:rRNA from 1 species
AAACGAUGAACACUAGGUGUCGGGGGAAUCGACCCCCCCGGUGUCGUAGCCAACGCGUUAAGUGUUCCGCCUGGGGAGUACGCACGCAAGUGUGAAACUCAAAGGAAUUGACGGGGGCCCGCACAAGCGGUGGAGUAUGUGGUUUAAUUCGAUGCAACGCGAAGAACCUUACCAGGGUUUGACAUCCUGCGAAUCUCUUGGAAACGAGAGAGUGCCUUCGGGAACGCAGUGACAGGUGGUGCAUGGCUGUCGUCAGCUCGUGUCGUGAGAUGUUGGGUUAAGUCCCGCAACGAGCGCAACCCACGUCGUUAGUUGCCAGCAUUUAGUUGGGCACUCUAGCGGGACCGCCGGUGAUAAACCGGAGGAAGGUGUGGAUGACGUCAAGUCAUCAUGCCCCUUACAUCCUGGGCUACACACGUACUACAAUGCUACGGACAAAGGGCAGCAAACUCGCGAGAGCUAGCAAAUCCCAUAAACCGUGGCUCAGUUCAGAUCGUAGGCUGCAACUCGCCUACGUGAAGGAGGAAUCGCUAGUAAUCGCAGGUCAGCAUACUGCGGUGAAUACGUUCCCGGGCCUUGUACACACCGCCCGUCACACCA